AUCUUGCCUAAGGAUGAAUUAGAUUAAAAUAAGUAAGAGCAGAAAAACAACAAUCAAAGUUUUAUCCUGGAUCGCUUAUGAAUGCUCGUAGUGUUGAAGCUCAACUUUGUUUUCUAAGAACGGUGUUGAAGAGGAAAGCAUUGCAAUCUAAUGCAGUCACACUACCAAGGGGUGGUAAAAAUGGGAUGGCAAACCCAUUCAGGCUACUCGCAAUUGCAACAUGACCUGUCAUGAUCAAAAUUCCAGCACUUCAAUGUUCAUUGAGUUCUAACUCAGCUGUUGCCUGCCAUCUGCUAUAAUCUUGUUUGCUUAUUUAUAACAAAGAAGCUCCGAAACACAUUUAAAUCAUCUGUUGUCUAAGUGAACCGUAAGUUUUUUCACCGUACGUACAGCUUGUAACUGGUGAUCCUCAAUAUGGACGACAAAAUUCUCCAAGUUACGAUGAGUCUUCAAACAAAAAGUGCUACUGAUACUUUUCUUGAACAAGAUAUUAGUUAUCAAGUAUUAGUGUGUUUUAUGUCCUGCUUGUCGCAUGGCUAUUUGGUCACGCUCAGAGAACUAGUUUUCUCCCUUCCAAAUAAUUCCAGAUUUUACAAGACAUGCUUAAUACUCGUGCAUAAUUGAUCAGUGUGAAAGUAAAAACGCCACUGAAAUCGAUUUGUCUCGUUUUGUUUCGAACCGAUUUCAAAUAGUAACCCAACCAUACAAUGAUCUUGAACGUGAUUGAAUUUAGGCCAAUCCCCAUAAAAUUGAAUUGUGUCACCGUGAGCGGCGCCUAAAACAUCUCAAGCACUGUGCUAUUCUUUGAAAAAGGCUCAAGUAAAACAAUCCUUGUUCGGAUUUCUUAUGAAAAUAUGAGCAACAGUGAAUUUGGUUGGACUCCUCGCGUAAACGGUGCACAGUACACUAUACUGUACAUCCAUAACCAGACAUAAUCCAGAGCUCGGGAUGUAAUAAUGGACGUGACAGGUUCUUAUAAGAUGUUCCACGUGGAUUUUACCUGAAAUAUCGUCUGGUUCUUCGUUUCCCUCGUCUUCUUCUUCGGUAAUAGAUUGUGGAUAACGAAGUCGUGAGAGG